rnacentral:lncRNA from 1 species
UUUUUCAAUGCAAUGAGAAACAGCUGUGCUUGGGAAUAAAUGACAACGAAUUUUUUUUAUCUCAACAGCUGUCCUGAGAGCAUGUCUCUACAUCUCUACCUGCAUUCUGGAUUCAGGGAGAAAGCCAAAACGGACGACAAGACACUAGAUCAGCCGUGUCCAGCCCUUUGACUACAAGGACUUUUCCACCUAUCUGUGGUGGGGUUCCUGGCAAGUCAUUUCUCCCUCGGGCCUUCGGUUUCCUCACCUACAAGAUGAGAGGGCUGGACCAGAUGGAAAUUCAGGGGGUAAGGGGAUGUCCUCACGCAGCCCACCCCCACCCCCACGGGACCCUGGAGCCUCCAUCCCAGUUCCCACCACGCACCCGCUCCACAAAUCCUGCCCAAGGUAACUCUUUCCUGAUAAGGCGAAUUGCUUGCUUCCUUGAAUUCUGCUCUCAAAGAUACCCUUCAUUUUCUACCUAAUAUUAAUAACUUUAAUCAUUCAUUAUUCCAUUACUAUGCUCUAUAGUGUAUACAAUUUCUGUUCUUUGUCAUGUUAUUAACUAAAUUAUUUAUUGGGUCCAGUAACGUAUUCCAUAAAUAUUGUACACAUAAAAAUUGUGUUAUUUUUAUUCCUGUAUGCUCAGCUGCCCAAUAACAGUCUGAGGAUUAACAUAUUUGUUAAAUGCUCAAAUACAUUCUUUCACAAAUAUUAGUUUAAUAAUUUUAUAUUAAACUCCCUCUAUACUUACAAUAUGAAUUAGAUAAUUCAGAAUAAACAUUCCAUUGGAAAAAGCUACACAAUUUGUUAUAAAACAUCCUUAAAAGCAUCAGAAAAUUAAUACAGCAAUGAAGAAUUACAGGACCAAAUUAAGAAUGGUAUGAAAGCCUGUUUGUGACGCUUAUGUUUGGGUUAUCUCUUUAUUUGAGUGACUAUAAAUCUCAAAAGAGAACUAAAGGGAGAAAUAACCAUAUCUACUAACAUGCUAAGGGUACUUAAACAUCUCUUAGUAAUUGAGAAAAUUGAAAGAAAAGAAAAAAGAGAAAGGGAGAAAGAGAAACAGCGAAAGGGAUAAUGAAGGCGAGAAAGAAGAAGAGAAAGGAAGAGGAAGAAAAGUAAAAAGGAGGAGGGGGAAGGAAGAAGGAAGAAAGGUGAAAAGAAAGAAUGGUAAACUUUUUAACAACAUAAUUUAUCCUUCUAGAAUAUGAAUGUUGGUCUAUUUGAUGAUGUCCCACAAAUUCAUUAGUCUCUGCUCAUUGUUUAUUUUUUAUUCUUUCUGUUUCUCAGAGACAGUAUUUUCCAUUUUCUUCUCUUCAAGUUCAUGGCUUCCUCUGUGUGUGCAAAUAUACUCUUAAAUCCCUCUGGUGAUUUUUAAAUUUUUAUCAUUGUAGUUUUCCACUCCAGAAUUUGUUAUCUCUUUGCUGAUAUUCCUACUUUUUAAUAUUUUUUCUGAUUCCUUUAUUUCUUUGUUUAUGUUUUCCUUUUGACAUUUGAGUAUAAUGAAGAGAGUUGUUUUAAAGUCUUUGUCUGGUAAGUUUGAUGUCUGGGUUUCCUUAGGGAUAUUUUCUGUCACUUUAUUUUGUUCCUUUGAAUGAGCCACACUUUCCCAUUCUUUGUAUGCCUUGUAACGUUUUUUGAAAACUGGACAUUCUAAUAAUUAUAAUUACUAUGUGGUUACUCUGUAAAUCAGACCUCCCCCUACAAACACAGUAAUGUUUUGUGGUUUUAAAUUUUCUUUACUUAUUAUAUUGUUAAGGAUUUUUUUUUUUAGUGAAAUUUUCCAAAGUGAUUUACAAAACUGUUUGGUUUAUAAGGUGUGGUCACCGAAGUCUUUUUGUUUCCUUAACAAAUGUUAAGCUAAUGUUUUGACAGUGAUUUUCUGGUAUGUCAGGAACCAAUCAAACAGGCAUAUACAAGAAAAACAAAAAGAAAAGCAAGUAAUCAUUGUCCAGCAAAAUAUGUCUGUAGGCCAUGCAGACUGGCUUUGUGCUGGGUUCUUUAAAGCCGGCACAAAGUGUGUGUUCACUCUUGCACUGAGUGAAGUUCAAGUUCACUCUUGCACAGAGCUUGCACUGAGGGGAGGGAUCGGCCAAGGUAAAAGUGUAGGGUCUUCUUAUGACAUUUGUCAGCAUGUGGCUUAACCUAUGAAUACGUGUGACUUUGUAGACUCUCCCAUGUACGUGAAUGAGGCAUGCGCCACCACGCCCAGCUAAUUUUUUUGUGUUUUUAGUAGAGACGAGGUUUCUCCAUGUUGAUCAGGCUGGUCUCAAACUCCCGACCUCAGGUGAUCCACCCGCCUCGGCCUCCCAAAGUGCUGGGAUUACAGGCGUGAGCCACCACGCCCAGCAGAUUUAUUUAUUUUUUAAUCUUUCUUUUUUUUUUUUUAGGCAGAGUCUUACUCUGUCACCCAGGCUGGAGUGCAGUGACACGACCUUGGCUCACUACAACCUAUGCCUCCCCAGUUCAAGUAAUCCUCCCACCUUAGCCUCCUGAGUAGCUGGGAUUACAGGCGCCUGCCACCACACCCAGCUAAUUUUUGUGUUUUUAGUAGAGACAGGGUUUCACCACAUUGUCCAGGCUGGUCUUGAACUCCUGGCCUCAAGAGACCCACCCGCCUCAGGCUCCCACAGCGCUGGGAUUACAGGCAUGAGCCGCCAUAUCUGGCCUAUUUAUUUUUUAAUUUUUCAAAUGAGAAGGUUGGGUUAGGUAAUUUUUAAAAAUCGCUUCAAGUUUCUUAACUCCACAAUUAUUUUCCUGAGACUCUUGCAAGCAACUGAUCUUUAUAGGUCAUGCCUCAAAUUCCCAAUUGAUGUCAUCUGGGCAAAUCAGUCCAAUGACAGCCACAAGUGGUCAGAAAGCUUUCUUAGCAGCCCUCUUGGUCACUAGGCACACUACCUAGGAGUCAAGCUGUGACAAGAGGCUGCUUCUUAAACUUACAAAAGAUAGGAUCUUCCAGGAUGUGCUGCUCUGAUGUUUUUGAAGGGCAUAGAGAAACACACGGGCAAUGUUUGCAGAGGCAACAGACUAAAGAAAGCACAUCUAUAGUUGUAUUGGCUUUGUGUGGGUUGUAUGGUAAACAGGUAGUCACCCUGCUUAAUGUGGGUAUCCCAUUUUCCAUAAAUGUCUAUUUCACCACCCCAAAAAGCCCUCUUAUCAUGAAAUUAAUCAUCUGAUGCACUUCAAGUACCAGUCACAAAAAUGAUGAACUCAGGCAGAAUUCCACUGCUAGACAAGCCCAGACAAAAACUGUUACUGUUAGCCAAGGAAAUUUGCACACAAUUUUGAUAAGUGGCACUAAAGCCACAUAAGACAGGAAAUGGGUUAGAGGACAUCAAUGUAUUGAGACAGAAAGUGAAAGGGUGGGCAGGAUUUGCGAGGUUACCAGUUUGAAUAUGGCCAUUCCUGCUUUUACUAAAGGUCAAUUUAGAAUACAAAUGUUACAGAAUUCAUUUAGAGCCAAAAAGUAAUUCUGACAAAGACUGUCUUAAAAUGCAAGAUUUUUAGAAUUAUGGAAAAUUUUUAUUUCCUUCUUUUUGCUUCUAAA